GACGAACGCUGGCGGCGUGCUUAACACAUGCAAGUCGAACGGAAAGGCCUUUUCGGAGGUACUCGAGUGGCGAACGGGUGAGUAACACGUGGGUGAUCUGCCCUGCACUCUGGGAUAAGCCUGGGAAACUGGGUCUAAUACCGGAUAGGACCGCACUUUAGUGUGUGUGGUGGAAAGUUUUUUCGGUGUAGGAUGAGCCCGCGGCCUAUCAGCUUGUUGGUGGGGUAAUGGCCUACCAAGGCGGCGACGGGUAGCCGGACUGAGAGGUUGGUCGGCCACAUUGGGACUGAGAUACGGCCCAGACUCCUACGGGAGGCAGCAGGGGGGAAUAUUGCACAAUGGGCGCAAGCCUGAUGCAGCGACGCCGCGUGGGGGAUGACGGCCUUCGGGUUGUAAACUCCUUUCGCCAGGGACGAAGCGUUUUGUGACGGUACCUGGAGAAGAAGCACCGGCUAACUAAGUG
rnacentral:rRNA from 1 species